CUAAGGCUAAAUACUCUCUAGUGACCGAUAGUGAACCAGUACCGUGAGGGAAAGGUGAAAAGCACCCCGGAAGGGGAGUGAAAUAGAACCUGAAACCGUGUGCUUACAAGUAGUCAGAGCCCGUUAAUGGGUGAUGGCGUGCCUUUUGUAGAAUGAACCGGCGAGUUACGAUUUGAUGCAAGGUUAAGCAGUAAAUGUGGAGCCGUAGCGAAAGCGAGUCUGAAUAGGGCGUUUAGUAUUUGGUCGUAGACCCGAAACCAGGUGAUCUACCCUUGGUCAGGUUGAAGUUCAGGUAACACUGAAUGGAGGACCGAACCGACUUACGUUGAAAAGUGAGCGGAUGAACUGAGGGUAGCGGAGAAAUUCCAAUCGAACCUGGAGAUAGCUGGUUCUCUCCGAAAUAGCUUUAGGGCUAGCCUCAAGUGAUGAUUAUUGGAGGUAGAGCACUGUUUGGACGAGGGGCCCCUCUCGGGUUACCGAAUUCAGACAAACUCCGAAUGCCAAUUAAUUUAACUUGGGAGUCAGAACAUGGGUGAUAAGGUCCGUGUUCGAAAGGGAAACAGCCCAGACCACCAGCUAAGGUCCCAAAAUAUAUGUUAAGUGGAAAAGGAUGUGGCGUUGCCCAGACAACUAGGAUGUUGGCUUAGAAGCAGCCAUCAUUUAAAGAGUGCGUAAUAGCUCACUAGUCGAGUGACACUGCGCCGAAAAUGUACCGGGGCUAAACAUAUUACCGAAGCUGUGGAUUGUCCUUUGGACAAUGGUAGGAGAGCGUUCUAAGGGCGUUGAAGCAUGAUCGUAAGGACAUGUGGAGCGCUUAGAAGUGAGAAUGCCGGUGUGAGUAGCGAAAGACGGGUGAGAAUCCCGUCCACCGAUUGACUAAGGUUUCCAGAGGAAGGCUCGUCCGCUCUGGGUUAGUCGGGUCCUAAGCUGAGGCCGACAGGCGUAGGCGAUGGAUAACAGGUUGAUAUUCCUGUACCACCUAUAAUCGUUUUAAUCGAUGGGGGGACGCAGUAGGAUAGGCGAAGCGUGCGAUUGGAUUGCACGUCUAAGCAGUAAGGCUGAGUAUUAGGCAAAUCCGGUACUCGUUAAGGCUGAGCUGUGAUGGGGAGAAGACAUUGUGUCUUCGAGUCGUUGAUUUCACACUGCCGA
rnacentral:rRNA from 1 species